GCCAGACUCCUACGGGAGGCAGCAGUGAGGAAUAUUGGUCAAUGGGCUUACGCCUGAACCAGCCAAGUCGCGUGAGGGAAGACUGCCCUAUGGGUUGUAAACCUCUUUUGUCAGGGAGCAAUUGGCGCUACGUGUAGCGUUAUCGAGAGUGCCCGAAGAAAAAGCAUCGGCUAACUCCGUGCCAGCAGCCGCGGUAAUACGGAGGAUGCGAGCGUUAUCCGGAUUUAUUGGGUUUAAAGGGUGCGCAGGCGGCGAGUUAAGCAGGGGGUAAAAUUUCGGGGCUUACCCCCGACAAGCCGUUGAAACUGGCUUGCUAGAGUGGGCGAGAAGUAUGCGGAAUGCGUGGUGUAGCGGUGAAAUGCAUAGAUAUCACGCAGAACUCCGAUUGCGAAGGCAGCAUACCGGCGCGCAACUGACGCUCAUGCACGAAAGCGUGGGUAUCGAACAGGAUUAGAUACCCGUGUAACA
rnacentral:rRNA from 1 species